rnacentral:rRNA from 1 species
UACGUAGGGUGCGAGCGUUGUCCGGAAUUACUGGGCGUAAAGAGCUCGUAGGUGGUUUGUCGCGUUGUUCGUGAAAACUCACAGCUCAACUGUGGGCGUGCGGGCGAUACGGGCAGACUGGAGUACUGCAGGGGAGACUGGAAUUCCUGGUGUAGCGGUGGAAUGCGCAGAUAUCAGGAGGAACACCGGUGGCGAAGGCGGGUCUCUGGGCAGUAACUGACCGCUGAGGAGCGAAAGCCAGGGGAGCAAACGGG